UUGAUGGUAAAGGGCUCAACAAUUGGGAUACUUUCACUCAUAAGUCAGGAGGGAUAUUAGACAAGAGCAAUGGAGAUGUUGCGACUGAUCACUACCACCGAUAUCUGCUUUGAUGUAUUUGACAGGUUCUUAUUGGCAACGAAGUUCUAGAGUCAGAAUGGAGCAUAGAACAAGUCUAAAGAUUGAGCUAUGGACGAGCAUAGAAGACACUCAGAAAUAAAGUUCCUUGAGUGAGGAACUGAAGCUCCAGAGUCGAAGCUUCACUGAGUUCCAAGAAGUCUAUUGUAUCUUUAUUGUUUAUUUUAGGCUUCUUGUAUAUUUGCUAAGUACAUUGUUAAUUGAUAGGAUUUUAAGUGGAUUUAAUUUCAGUUUAUAAAGAUUUUAUUUUCCUAUGUUUAAAAA